CCCGGAGGGCGCCACUCCGCGCCCUCGGCUUCCAGCCCCCGCUCGCCUCCCGGCCUCACGCACGUCUGCAACUUCUGAGACGCAAUAAAGUUUGCAGUCGCGACGAGGAGCGCGGCCCCAGGAAGCGGAGCUGAAAGGCCGGGAACCAGGCCGAUCCGCCAGUGGGCCAGACACGGUGCAGAGGGCGGUUCCGGCAACGGGGCCCAGACGCGAAGGAGGAUGAGGGAAGCCCCGGCGUACACCCCAAUGGGAACGCCUCGCCUCCGGCUCCGCCCUCACCUCAACAGCGUCCCCACGGACGCGGACCUGCGCCGGAGGAGCCUGGAGUGUCCCAGGAGUUCUGUGGGAGAGUUGGCCUGCAUCUGGUGAUCAGCCCAUCAAGCUUCAUCUCCCAGUGUUUCCAACAAUGCCAAUUAUCGGGUGGCCACUAGGGGGAAGCAGACGCCUUUGCAAGACCCUUUCUACACUUCUGACACGUCUCAGAUCAGCUCACCUCUUCUCAUGUCGCAACCUAUCCUACCCUACCCCAAACCUAGACCUGCCCUUCCUCUUUCCCAGGAAUCACCAACUGAGGCUCUUUCGUUCUGUGUAAACUGCCUGAGAAUAUCCCUCCCCCAGGCUCCUUAUCUUAAAAUAAUUAAAUUUAUGGAGGUAGAUGGAAUUGUCUUUCCUCCCCACCUCUUGCUUUCCAAAACCUGUUAUAGCCAGUCUAACUCCGUCAGAGAAUACUCACACAGUUAAAAUGUUACCCACGUCUGCCAGCCCCACCAUCUGAAGGAUUGAAGCUAGUUCAGUCCUGAGCCACUCGGCCUAGAAAAGGGCUGCCUCCACAGGACGCUCCACAGCUGAGGACUAACUAGCUUUAGCAACUCCAAAUCUGCUCCAUUGUCCUACCAGGAGCCUGGAAAUGCAGGAGCACUCAACCAUUUUCGGGUGCAAAAAUAGGAAAAGCCCAGUGAGUGACACUGCCUACAGGACCUGUUAGCAGCCUGUGCUACCCACGUGCCCGUUGUUCUGUGAUCGUCCUUUUGUCACCACCCAGCUAAGCUGCUGGCCAGACAACUGCUUGAUCAAACAACAUCUCGAGUUUAAAUUUUAUUUUACAAAAAGAGAAAUAAAGAAAACUGAUAGGCAGUUAUACUGA